rnacentral:rRNA from 1 species
GAUGAACGCUGGCGGCGUGCCUAAUACAUGCGAGUCGAGCGAACAGACGAGGAGCUUGCUCCUCUGACGUUAGCGGCGGACGGGUGAGUAACACGUGGAUAACCUACCUAUAAGACUGGGAUAACUUCGGGAAACCGGAGCUAAUACCGGAUAAUAUAUUGAACCGCAUGGUUCAAUAGUGAAAGACGGUUUUGCUGUCACUUAUAGAUGGAUCCGCGCCGCAUUAGCUAGUUGGUAAGGUAACGGCUUACAAAGGCAACGAUGCGUAGCCGACCUGAGAGGGUGAUCGGCCACACUGGAACUGAGACACGGUCCAGACUCCUACGGGAGGCAGCAGUAGGGAAUCUUCCGCAAUGGGCGAAAGCCUGACGGAGCAACGCCGCGUGAGUGAUGAAGGUCUUCGGAUCGUAAAACUCUGUUAUUAGGGAAGAACAAAUGUGUAAGUAACUAUGCACGUCUUGACGGUACCUAAUCAGAAAGCCACGGCUAACUACGUG